GAUGAACGCUGGCGGCGUGCCUAAUACAUGCAAGUCGAGCGAACGGACGAGAAGCUUGCUUUUCUGAUGUUAGCGGCGGACGGGUGAGUAACACGUGGAUAACCUACCUAUAAGACUGGGAUAACUUCGGGAAACCGGAGCUAAUACCGGAUAAUAUUUUGAACCGCAUGGUUCAAAAGUGAAAGACGCUCUUGCUGUCACUUAUAGAUGGAUCCGCGCUGCAUUAUCUAGUUGGUAAGGUAACGGCUUACCAAGGCAACGAUGCAUAGCCGACCUGAGAGGGUGAUCGGCCACACUGGAACUGAGACACGGUCCAGACUCCUACGGGAGGCAGCAGUAGGGAAUCUUCCGCAAUGGGCGAAAGCCUGACGGAGCAACGCCGCGUGAGUGAUGAAGGUCUUCGGAUCGUAAAACUCUGUUAUUAGGGAAGAACAUAUGUGUAAGUAACUGUGCACAUCUUGACGGUACCUAAUCAGAAAGCCACGGCUAACUACGUG
rnacentral:rRNA from 1 species